rnacentral:rRNA from 1 species
CCUACGGGUGGCAGCAGUGGGGAAUAUUGCACAAUGGGCGAAAGCCUGAUGCAGCAACGCCGCGAGAACGAUGAAGGCCUUCGGGUCUUAAAGCUCUGUCCUCAAGGAAGAUAAUGACGGUACUUGAGGAGGAAGCCCCGUCUAACUACGUGCAAGCAGCCGCGGUAAUACGUAGGGGGCUAGCGUUAUCCGGAAUUACUGGGCGUAAGGGGUGCGUAGGGGGUUUAUUAAGUCAGAGGUGAAAGGCUAAGGCUCAACCGUAGUAAGCCUUUGAAACUGGGGAACGUGAGUGCAGGAGAGGAGAGUGGAAUUCCUGGUGUAGCGGUGAAAUGCGUAGAUAUUAGGAGGAACACCAGUUGCGAAGGCGGCUCUCUGGACUGUAACUGACACUGAGGCACGAAAGCGUGGGGAGCAAACAGGAUUAGAUACCCGUGUAGUC